AUGUCCUCUUGCGUCUCCUCCUCCCAUCACCACUGCGCCCGCCGCCUCCCCGCCCCAACGCCCCGGGCGCACCUCGCCGCAGCUGAGUUGUGCGCGUCCCCUCACCGCAGACGCGUCGGUUCCCUGAGGGCAGUGAGAGCCGAGCCGCCCUCGAGCGUGGCGCCGGCGGGGGGCAGGAAGGCUGCGGCGGUGCAGGCGGAGAUGGUAGAGGCGGCGGCCAUGUGGUGCGCCAUGCACGGACUCGUCGUCGGCGACCGCGGCGACCUGAGAUCUGGAACAGUCCCAGGUGUUGGUUUGGUUCAUGCUCCAUUUUCGCUACUUCCAACACGUUUUCCAGCAUCUUUUUGGAAGCAAGCAUGUGAACUGGCUCCUAUUUUCAAUGAGCUUGUGGAUCGUGUGAGCUUGGAUGGGAAGUUCUUGCAAGGUUCUUUGUCUAGAACAAAGCAGGUUGACGAUUUCACUGCUAGGUUGUUAGAAAUUCAUGCAAAGAUGAUGGCAGUAAACAAGAAGGAGGAUAUCCGCUUAGGGUUGCAUCGAUCUGACUACAUGCUUGAUUCUGAAACAAAUUCUCUUCUUCAAAUUGAGCUCAACACCAUCUCAACAUCAUUUCCUGGUCUAGGCUCUCUUGUGAGCGAACUUCACAGGACCUUACUUAAUCAAUAUGGUGAAGUCUUAGGUCUUGAUUCUGAAAGGAUUCCUCGGAACUGGGCAGCCAUUCAAUUUGCUGAAGCAUUGGGCAAAGCAUGGGUUGAGUAUAAUAAUGAAAGCGCUGUAGUUAUGAUGAUUGUUCAAGCUGAAGAAAGAAAUAUGUACGACCAGUACUGGCUCAUCAAUCAUUUGAAAGAAUCGCAUGGUGUGAUGACCAUUAGGAAAACUUUGGCACAGGUGGAGGCCGAAGGACUAGUGCUUCCGAAUGGAACACUUGUGGUAGAUGGACGACCUGUUGCUGUUGUGUAUUUCAGAGCUGGGUAUGCACCGACUGACUACCCUUCAGAAGUGGAAUGGAGUGCAAGGCUUUUGAUUGAACAAUCAUCUGCUAUUAAGUGCCCUUCAAUAUCCUACCAUUUAGUCGGAACCAAAAAGAUCCAGCAAGAGCUAGCAAAACCUAGUGUUCUUGAAAGGUUCCUUGACAACGAGGAAGACAUUGCCAAGCUACGUAAAUGCUUCGCAGGGUUAUGGAGCUUGGACAAUGAAGAAAUAGUGAAAUCAGCAAUAGAAAAACCUGACUUGUUUGUCCUGAAACCUCAACGAGAAGGUGGAGGGAACAACUUGUAUGGUCAUGAUUUGCGAGAAACACUGAUCAGACUAAAGAACGAACAGGGAGAGGCGCUUGCGGCCUACAUUUUGAUGCAGCGGAUUUUUCCGAGAGCUUCUCUUACUCAGCUUGUCCAGGGCGGUGUCUGCUUUGAGGAACUUUCAAUCUCUGAGCUUGGAAUAUUUGGAUCCUACCUGCGGAACAAAGAUAAGGUAGUCAUUAAUAACCAAUGUGGUUACUUGAUGCGCACCAAAGUUUCUUCAUCAAACGAAGGUGGAGUUGCUGCAGGAUUUGCUGUUCUGGACAGCAUUCUCCUCACAGAUGAGUGA
rnacentral:rRNA from 1 species